AAAGGAGUCUCUUGGGUCCUUCCUUGUCUGAUUUAGUCCCAGAAUUUCAGAGGGAGCAGAGACGUUUCCAUAGUGACUGGAAGAAGCUGCUCAGGGGAGCAACCUCAGCCACUCGGGUUGCGGAUUAUGAACGAUAAAACCAGAGCAGUUCCAGGGCAUCUUUGCUCUGAGGUGGGGCUCCAACCUGUGCCUGACCCACAGCCGCAGGAACAGGAAGCUGCCCAUUUCCGUGGCUCCAAAUAAACACAGCCUGUCAGGCCAUCUGGUGGCCUGGAUUCUGGAAGAGAUGGGAGCAGAGAUGAGAAUGAGACAAGUUGCCCUGGAGAAGAGCAGCUGGCAGGCUCUUCUCACUGGCUGCUGCCAGGAACCAUUCGAGUUCCAUGGAGGCUAAACUGAGUGAGUCUUGGUGAUGACAGGCCUCCCAGAUGACAAGCUCACAGUGGUGUGUACUGCGUCCCCACACUGUUGGAGGAGACAGGUUCCUGGGAAUGGAUGGGAGUUGUGAGCAUUACGCACAUGGAACUCCCAAUCAUCCUGGAAAUUGUGUUCUCUGGUGAAACCCAGCUUGAUCACUGACCAUCACCAGCUUCCCUGGCUAUGGAGUCAGCCAUGAAGAAGGCAGAAGUGGCACGUUGAUGGCUAUUAUGGAAGUCAGGGCUAAGCACCAGGUCGAACAGAACCUCAAAGAAGUUGUGUGUGGUUGAUGUGGCAAGGUCAACACCCUCUGACUGGAUGGAGAGAGGUCAUGUGUUCACCUGGCUCCAGAUCUCCGUGCUUUGAAUGUUACCAAUAAAACUGGGUUGAUCCAAACUGA